UCAGCUCUUAUCGUCUUUCUCCUCUUUGAAUAUAUUGUUGCUGUCGUUGCUAGCAAUAGAUGACUAAUGAAUUCGACGAACUUUUUUUUCUAUUAUUUGAGGUUGAAUUUUUUUUGCCAAAUCUAAAUUUUGAUCUCUCUGAACUUUAAUUUCUGAUUUCGUUCCGGUCCACAAACUUCCUGAGACAAUAAGCCACCGUUUGGACUCCUCUUUGAAUAUAUUGUUGCUGUCGUUGCUAGCAAUAGAUGACUAAUGAAUUCGACGAACUUUUUUUUCUAUUAUUUGAGGUUGAAUUUUUUUUGUCAAAUCUAAAUUUUGAUCUCUCUGAACUUUAAUUUCUGAUUUCGUUCCGGUCCACAAACUUCCUGAGACAAUAAGCCACCGUUUGGUUGGGGGUUAAGGGGUGGAAUAACUCCUUAACCCCUAAUUUAUACCCAAACACCACUCUUUUGGGGUGGGGUUAGUAAACCUCACCCCAAACCGGGUUAGUGGGGUUUACUAACCCCACUCCCCCUCCUAACUUUAACCCCGUACGCAUUCCGAGUCCUCACCUUUUUCUUCUUUAUCAAUCAUUAACCCCACUCUCCCUCCCAAUUUUAACCCCGUAUGCAUCACGAGCUCUCACCUUUUUCUUCUUUAUCAAUCACUAUCUUCUUAUCCCACCUAAUCCAACCAAACACUUUUUUUUCACUAUCCUAGACUAAUUCCAACCUCCAACCAAACAAAAAAAAAUUUUAACACUAUUUUAACCCUAUCCCUGGAAUAGCUACUUUUUCUUAACCCCGAACCAAACGGGGAUGAGACAAUAAGAAAAUGACCCUUCAUAAUA
rnacentral:lncRNA from 1 species